rnacentral:rRNA from 1 species
UACGUAGGUGGCAAGCGUUGUCCGGAUUUACUGGGUGUAAAGGGGGCGCAGGCGGGAAGCUAAGUUGGAUGUGAAAUACCGGGGCUCAACUCCGGAGCUGCAUCCAAAACUGGUUUUCUUGAGUGGAGUAGAGGCAAGCGGAAUUCCGAGUGUAGCGGUGAAAUGCGUAGAUAUUCGGAGGAACACCAGUGGCGAAGGCGGCUUGCUGGGCUCUAACUGACGCUGAGGCCCGAAAGCGUGGGGAGCAAACAGGGUUAGAUACCCUGGUAGUCCCUGA